rnacentral:rRNA from 1 species
GACGAACGCUGGCGGCGUGCCUAAUACAUGCAAGUAGAACGCACAGUUUAUACCGUAGCUUGCUACACCAUAGACUGUGAGUUACGAACGGGUGAGUAACGCGUAGGUAACCUGCCUGGUAGCGGGGGAUAACUAUUGGAAACGAUAGCUAAUACCGCAUAAUAUUAAUUAUUGCAUGAUAAUUAAUUGAAAGGUGCAAUUGCACCACUACCAGAUGGACCUGCGUUGUAUUAGCUAGUAGGUGAGGUAACGGCUCACCUAGGCGACGAUACAUAGCCGACCUGAGAGGGUGAUCGGCCACACUGGGACUGAGACACGGCCCAGACUCCUACGGGAGGCAGCAGUAGGGAAUCUUCGGCAAUGGACGAAAGUCUGACCGAGCAACGCCGCGUGAGUGAAGAAGGUUUUCGGAUCGUAAAGCUCUGUUGUAAGAGAGGAACGGGUGUGAGAGUGGAAAGUUCACACUGUGACGGUAUCUUACCAGAAAGGGACGGCUAACUACGUG